GCUACAGGCUUAACACAUGCAAGUCGAGGGGCAGCAUGGUCUUAGCUUGCUAAGGCCGAUGGCGACCGGCGCACGGGUGAGUAACACGUAUCCAACCUGCCGUCUACUCUUGGACAGCCUUCUGAAAGGAAGAUUAAUACAAGAUGGCAUCAUGAGUCCGCAUGUUCACAUGAUUAAAGGUAUUCCGGUAGACGAUGGGGAUGCGUUCCAUUAGAUAGUAGGCGGGGUAACGGCCCACCUAGUCUUCGAUGGAUAGGGGUUCUGAGAGGAAGGUCCCCCACAUUGGAACUGAGACACGGUCCAAACUCCUACGGGAGGCAGCAGUGAGGAAUAUUGGUCAAUGGGCGAGAGCCUGAACCAGCCAAGUAGCGUGAAGGAUGACUGCCCUAUGGGUUGUAAACUUCUUUUAUAAAGGAAUAAAGUCGGGUAUGGAUACCCGUUUGCAUGUACUUUAUGAAUAAGGAUCGGCUAACUCCGUGCCAGCAGCCGCGGUAAUACGGAGGAUCCGAGCGUUAUCCGGAUUUAUUGGGUUUAAAGGGAGCGUAGAUGGAUGUUUAAGUCAGUUGUGAAAGUUUGCGGCUCAACCGUAAAAUUGCAGUUGAUACUGGAUAUCUUGAGUGCAGUUGAGGCAGGCGGAAUUCGUGGUGUAGCGGUGAAAUGCUUAGAUAUCACGAAGAACUCCGAUUGCGAAGGCAGCCUGCUAAGCUGCAACUGACAUUGAGGCUCGAAAGUGUGGGUAUCAAACAGGAUUAGAUACCCUGGUAGUCCACACGGUAAACGAUGAAUACUCGCUGUUUGCGAUAUACUGCAAGCGGCCAAGCGAAAGCGUUAAGUAUUCCACCUGGGGAGUACGCCGGCAACGGUGAAACUCAAAGGAAUUGACGGGGGCCCGCACAAGCGGAGGAACAUGUGGUUUAAUUCGAUGAUACGCGAGGAACCUUACCCGGGCUUAAAUUGCAGAUGAAUUACGGUGAAAGCCGUAAGCCGCAAGGCAUCUGUGAAGGUGCUGCAUGGUUGUCGUCAGCUCGUGCCGUGAGGUGUCGGCUUAAGUGCCAUAACGAGCGCAACCCUUGUUGUCAGUUACUAACAGGUUCCGCUGAGGACUCUGACAAGACUGCCAUCGUAAGAUGUGAGGAAGGUGGGGAUGACGUCAAAUCAGCACGGCCCUUACGUCCGGGGCUACACACGUGUUACAAUGGGGGGUACAGAGGGUCGCUACCACGCGAGUGGAUGCCAAUCCCCAAAACCUCUCUCAGUUCGGACUGGAGUCUGCAACCCGACUCCACGAAGCUGGAUUCGCUAGUAAUCGCGCAUCAGCCACGGCGCGGUGAAUACGUUCCCGGGCCUUGUACACACCGCCCGUCAAGCCAUGGGAGCCGGGGGUACCUGAAGUGCGUAACCGCGAGGAGCGCCCUAGGGUAAAACUGGUGACUGGGGCU
rnacentral:rRNA from 1 species